rnacentral:rRNA from 1 species
AUGGUAUGCACUGGCUCGCUGACUCCUCCUUCUUGUAGAACCGUAAUGCCAUUAAUUUGGUGUUGCGGGGAAACAGGACUGUUACUUUGAAAAAAUUAGAGUGUUUAAAGCAGGCCAACGCCUGAAUACAUUAGCAUGGAAUAAUGAAAUAGGACGUUCGAACCUAUUUUGUUGGUUUCUAGGAUUGACGUAAUGAUUAAUAGGGAUAGUUGGGGGCAUUAGUAUUCAAUUGUCAGAGGUGAAAUUCUUGGAUUUAUUGAAGACUGACUACUGCGAAAGCAUUUGCCAAGGAUGUUUUCAUUAAUCAAGAACGAAAGUUAGGGGAUCGAAGACGAUCAGAUACCGUCGUAGUCUUAACCAUAAACUAUGCCGACUAGGGAUCGGAUGAUGUUAAUUUUUUAAUGACUCAUUC